AUCUAGAUAGCUUAUAAAGAGCUUGACAUUGAAGCUGUUAAGGAGAUAAUUUAUCUCUAGGUA
rnacentral:tRNA from 1 species